rnacentral:rRNA from 1 species
AUUGAACGCUGGCGGCAUGCCUUACACAUGCAAGUCGAACGGUAACAGGUUAAGCUGACGAGUGGCGAACGGGUGAGUAAUAUAUCGGAACGUGCCCAGUCGUGGGGGAUAACUGCUCGAAAGAGCAGCUAAUACCGCAUACGACCUGAGGGUGAAAGCGGGGGAUCGCAAGACCUCGCGCGAUUGGAGCGGCCGAUAUCAGAUUAGGUAGUUGGUGGGGUAAAGGCCUACCAAGCCUACGAUCUGUAGCUGGUCUGAGAGGACGACCAGCCACACUGGGACUGGGACACGGCCCAUACUCCUACGGGUGGCAGCAGUGGGGAAUUUUGGACAAUGGACGCAAGCCUGAUCCAGCCAUGCCGCGUGCGGGAAGAAGGCCUUCGGGUUGUAAACCGCUUUUGUCAGGGAAGAAAAGGUUCUGGUUAAUACCUGGGACUCAUGACGGUACCUGAAGAAUAAGCACCGGCUAACUACGUGCCAGCCGCCGCAGUAAAAC